GCACAGGGAUCCCAUGGUGCUCUGAGCCAUGCUGUGGAUAUUUAUUGGGAUUUGCUGAGAGGGUUUGUAGAAGAGAGGCCACAGUCUCUACAAAAACUCUCUGCUCUGUCAUUGAAUUUAUCACCCAAAUAAUCGUGUGGCCAUCAGCACAUACAGUGCUCAACUUUGCUAUGUUAUAAUGAGUUUUGUUAAAUAUAUUGGAAUUCAUUUUUGAAAUUGAUGUAGAGAUUUUUCCUUGAACAGCAACUUCAGUGUAUAUGAGUGACUGUCAAUACUCAUGUAAUCAGCUGGUUUUCGUCAUUAGUAAAGUUGGAUUACAGUAAUAAAGAUAUUCUAAAAGCCAAGAAUUGAUAUGUUGUCAAGUUUAUCAAGGAAGAUGCCAUCAUAUCCAAGAUAUUAUCUUUGUUACCAAUUUGACACUUUAGUCAUGGUGUAGGUUGUUUCUGAGUCUUAAUAUGAUACAUGUACAUAAUCAAUUUAUUUCAAGUUAUUUGCCAGUUUAUAUACAGAUCUGAAUAAUGGUUAUUUUACUUGUUUUACAUUUGUGAAGAUUUAAGAAAUUAUGUAUGUGUAUAAAAUCUUGAAUACUCAACCACAAUUUUUUCUAUUGUUUAUGACGUUAAAACAAUACUUCUAUAUGUUGUUAAAGAAAAUGAAUAUUCCUCUUAUGUUUAAUGUUAAUAUUUAAAAACAUGUAAAAAUUGAUAUGAAUGAACAAUUUAGUGUGUUUACUACUGGAUAACUGACAUUUUUCCAAGAAAUGACACACAUUUUAAUCCAAUCUGUUGAAAAUGCAGAGACUGCAUGUCUGUGUAUUUGAUAUUUACUAUAUAUAUUUAAUGGCAUAAUUUGUUCAUUUGUAUUUUCAAUAAGAAAGAAUGCAAAUAUAGAUAUCCAUACAUGUAAAUUGUAUAUUGCAUCAAUUUGCUUCAAUCUGUAUCAACACACUAGUGAGUAGUCUCACUUUGAAUACUUUAUAUGAGACAGUAACUCUUUUAGAAUCUCAUUCUCUGUUAGACUAUAGAUUUGUUAUCAAUUUUCUUAUUAAUGAACAAGAAUAUUUUUAACUGAAUAUGAAUUCAAACCACUGUUGAAAAGUGUAUGAAAAGAAUAACUUCUAUCACAAUUGAGAUACAUUUUUUUGCAUAUUGUUAAAGUUCAACAUACAUGCACUAGUAAUUAUUUUAAUGCAAAAAUAUCCAUUACUGUAAAUUGUGUUUCUUUUAAAGUUAAUUUAAAUUCACUUGUUAUAUAUAAUGAUUUGUACUUAAUAUGGCAAAAUAUCAUUAAAAAAAAACAACUU
rnacentral:misc_RNA from 1 species